UCUUAACUGAGAUUCCAAACAAGAAAAUGAAAAAGGAAAAUAAAUCAGAGAACCGCUGUUUAAAUUGGAAUUUUAAGGAUUGUUGCAUAAGGGAAUCACAUCGUCUUUAUUACAAGGGAAGGGAACAAACUCAGACACAAGGCAAGACGUUAGUAGACUUUACUUUUAAUGUUUUGUUAGUUGUGUGAUUAGGUUGGGAAUUAAAUAGACUUAAGGGCAAUCCUAUUUGUUAGCUGUGUCGAAGUGAUUUGCAUUUAGUUUGCUCUCUGUUUUAGUUUAGUAACGCUAAACCGCUUUACAAUAGACGCAAUUAAGUUCAAACCUGAUCAGUCUGAUUGUGUAGUUUUGAUUUGGCACCAAUGCAGAAAAACACAAGAUUACUGUCUUGUUAGAGUUGUGUCUGCUUGUGUUUCACCAUUCAUGAUCAAUAUAAAGUAGAAAGAGUUGUGUCUACUUGUCAUUAUAAUAUGGUCUUUUGUUUCACUAUUCAUUUUGUUGCAAAAAAAAUUUAAGAACUUUUCUCCCACUAGAAAAUGAAAAAAUUAAUUAGACUAACAAGGAUUCUUAACUUUUGAAAUCACUAAAUUAAAUAUUAAUUUAUUUAUUAGAACCCAUUAGGUCUCUAACCAAUGGACUUUGCUCUAAGAUACUAUAUCUCUUUUUAGUCAAUAUGGCAAGUGAACACGUCGGUAGGUUUUUUAACCACGUCCGGGAAAAAGCAACGCAACACGUAUGCGCCUACGUAAUCAUAUAUACAUGCAUUUGUAACUUUAUACGUAAAGAAUAAGUAUGCAGAGUAAACGGUUUACAUCACACACUGCUCGUAUGGCGGCCAAAAUUUAUAGAAAGUCGUUAUAAAUUUUCUUCUGUUAUGACCAUUCGUUAAGUAAAACAAAGGCUUACUCUGAAUAGAUUUAUCUGGUACUUGUUACUUUUUAAUUAUUAUCUUUUUGCUAAAACUUUGAACUUUUUAAUUAUAAUUUUUUUUUUGAAAAAAGGCUUGAGUUUUUAAUUCGUUUGAACUGAUUUUAGAAAAACAUUAUCGUCCACUAAAAUUAACUAACUUUGAAACAAAAAAUUCAAUUUGUUUAUUACCAUUUUUUGUAUUCCCGUUUUUAGAGCUAAUUGUCCGAGAAGAAAAACGUAAAUCCAAUAUCGGAGAGUAUAUGACCAUGUUCGUUUACCUAUCGGGCAAUAUGUGACAUGCGAUCUGCGAUUGGUCGCAAGUCAUAGGUUGUUGUUCGUUUUGCUGUCGCGUAAUCUACUAUUUGCAGGUUGUUGUUCGUUUUGAUGACGCGCGACUGAUCGUGCGACCAGUCGUACGUUCCGAUUUUAACUAAAAUUUAAGAAAAUUUUGAUCUCACGAUUGUUUGCAGGUCGCGCGACACGUAAACGAAUAAAUUUUAGUCGUAAGUCAUAUGUAUAGGUCGAACGACAGAAAACCAACGUAAUCUUGGUCGGAGGUUGCAAGUCGCGCAUCACGUAAACGAACAUGCCCUUUGCCUCCAACCUCCCAUGAGUUAACUUAUUAACUAAAAAUUUCUGGGUGGACGGAGGCAGCAAAGUGGUAAAGGGUCAGCUGACUCCACUACUUUUUAAAAAAUAAAAUUAAAAAAAUUUGUAUUGAUCCCACUUAAAAAAUAAAUUUGACCCCACAAAAAUAAUUACAAAACAUUAAAAGAAAAAGCUAAUUAUACAAGUAAUAUAUUUUCAUUUUUAUUUUUAAAACUUUGGAUUUAUAUUAGUUUUAAUUUUAUUUUUCUAUAGUUGCAAAAGAUUAUAAAAUCAUUAAACAUGUUUUGGGUAUUUAAACUUUAGUAAUAUUUUAGUUUAAGCCCAAAUAGUUUAUAAUACAGAAACAUUAAAAAUAUAAGCAAACUUAAAAUAGAAAAAAAAACAUGUUUCUCUUCCCUUGCAACACAAGACGACGGCGACCUGUUCUAACUUGUGCUCCACAUUCAGGUUAGUUUUAUAUACUUUUUUGGUAUAUUCUACUCUUUUGUUUAUAUUAUUACUUUGUGUUCAUGAUCUGAAUAUUUUUAAUAAUUAAUUUUAUAUUUAGAAAAAGACUAAUCUAUCUUAUUUAAUAGAAAACUAAUGGAUCAAUUUCUAAAUCUGAAAAGAAAAUUUUCAUCAACAGAUGAUAUUCACCUAGACGACAUGCCGCAUGAUCCCAGAGAAAGAAAAGAGAUUCAUGAAUAUGAUCAUAAUCAAAUAGACAAGGUGAGACGCAAGUAUUUGACUAGAUGAUCUUUUCAACUUUGUGGGCAUAGUUUUAAGCAAAAAGUUAUCUUAGGUGUAUUAAUGCGGUUUAAUCCUUCUUGGUUUGAUCAGUAUGGGAUUGGUUAGAAUACAGUGUAAAAAAAGAGAAUGAAUAUUGUUUCUUUUGUUAUUUAUUCAGCAACAAGAAAAAAUGUGUAAGUGUUGGAUUUGUCAUAGAGGGAUUUGAUAGUUAGAAUAAGUCUGACAAAUUGGCUGGCUAUGUAGGUGUGAUAAAUAGAUUUCACAACAUAGCCAAGAAGAAGUGUGAAGAUUUGAUGAGACAAGGUCAGUCAAUCCAACAUGCUUUUCAAAAGCAAACUGAUGUCGUAAAAAAAGAGUAUCGUAUCCGACUAAAUGCUUUAGUCGAUGCUGCUAGAUACUUACUGAAACAAGGAUUACCAUUUCGUUCUCAUGAUGAGACAGCCGAUUCUAGCAGCAAAAGAAUUUUUUUUGGAGUUAGUGAACUAUACUGCUGCGUAGAAUGAAGUUGCAAGCACGGUUGUGGUGAAUAAUGCUCCUGGAAAUAACCAAAUGGUGUCUUGUCUCAUCCUAUUCAAAAAGACAUUUUGAUUGCUUUUAAGAAGAAGUAAUUAAUUCCAUAGUUCAAGAGAUGGACAAUGAUGUGUUUGCUUUAUUGGUGUAUGAAUCAGCUGAUUAUUCUAUGAAAGAGUAAAUGGUUAUAGUUUUUUGCUUUGUCGAUAAACAUGGUAUUGUCAAAGAGAGAUUUGUUGGUCUUAUCCAUGUGAAGGAUACAUGUUCUUUAUCUUUGAAAUCCGGAAUUGAUUCAUUGCUUGCUAAAUAUAGUAUGAGUCUGAAAAUGGUGAGAGGACAAGGCUAUGAUGGAGUAGGAAAAUAUUAGAGGUGAAUUUAAUGGUCUAAGAGCACUGAUUUAAAAAGAAAACAGUUCGGCAUACUAUGUCACUGUUUUGCUCACCAACUACAAUUGGUAGUUGUUGCUGUCGCGAAGAAGCGUUUUGAAGUUAGAGAUUUCUUUGAUAAGAUUUAUUUGUUAGUGAAUGUGGUUGAAACUUCAUGUAAAAGGAAAUAUAAGAUGCGAGAAAUUCAGCGGUAUAUAAUUGAAAAGAGAAUAAGCAGUGGUGAAAUCAAGAUUGGAAAAAGACUGAAUCAAGAGUCUUCUCUUCCAAGACCAGGAAGUACACGUUGGGGUUCUCACUAUCAAACGUUGUUGCGGUUAGUUGAGAUGUUUUCUUAUGUGGAUGAGAUGCUUGUGUACGUCGAGGAUGAAUGUGCUGAUCUUAUCCAGUGAAAUGAAGCAAAUGGUUUUCUCAAAUAUAUUCAUACUUUUAAUUGUGUAUUCUACCUACAUUUGAUGUUGCACAUUUUGGGACUCACAAAAAACUUGUCACUGGUCUUGCAACUAAAAGAUCAAGACAUUCUAAAUGGUGUCUCAUUAGUAGUAUCCACUAAGCGACAACUACAAAAGUUUAGAUAUGAUGGCUGGGAUUCUUUUUUUGAAUGAUGUUUCAGCUUUUUGUGGAAACAUGACACUGGUAUUCUCAACAUGGAGGACGAUUUCAUCGAUCCAAGGAAGUUACACAAAAAGACCAACAUUACCAACUUGCAUCAUUAUCAAGUCAAUUAUUUUUAUACAGUAUUGGAUAUGGCACUUCAAGAUUUUAAUGGUCGCUUUAACGAGGUAAACUCUGAGUUACUUGUUUGCACAUCAGCUUAAAGUCCUACUGCUUCAUUUUGUGAGUUUGAUAAAGAAAAGUUAUUAAGACUAGCUAAAUUAUAUCCUGAGGAUUUUAGUGUGAUAGAAUGCAUAUCACUUAAGCAGCAACUUGACAUUUAUAUUGAUAAUGUACGAGGAGAUGAAAAGUUUGUUGAUUUGAAACAUUUUGGAGAUCUAUCGCGGUUAAUGGUAGAAACUAAGAAACAUCUUUUUCAAUUUUUGGUGUAUAGGCUUUUGAAGUUAUUUUUGACUUUGGAGAAUGAAGAUCGUCAAGACAGAAAUUGCAUGGGUGAUCAGUUUCUAAGUGAUUGUCUUAUUUGUUGUAUUGAAAAAAACAAUAUUUGAAUAUAGUCAAUGAAACUGCUAUAAAAAAGUUUCAAGUUAUGAGUGAAGAUAUAAUACAUUUGUAGUUUUUUUUUUGUGUAAUACAUUUGUAGUUUUUUGGUUAUUUAAACAUUGUGUUUUUGAUUUUUUUUUUUUGGGAUUCCAGUAUAAAAAGUUUUUGGCUCUACCACUCGUAUCGUACUAGCAUGGCGUGUUAAUUUUUAAAUUACUGUCAUUGUUGACUUUACUCAAAAUGAUAAAUUAUGUAUUUAUGACAAGAAAAUAUUGUAAUCUAUAAUUAUAAUCUGAUAAUCUGCAAGUGCAUACCUUUUUUUUCUGUAACUCUGCAAGUGCAUACCUCAUGCGUACAAAUAAAUAUAACUAUCGUUUAUCUAAUAUUGGUGGCGAAACAAGUAAGCAUUACUUCAAUAUUUUUAUUAGUUUUAAAGAAUAUGUCGGCAGAGUGAAUUACGGUUAAUCACCCCUUGACUCAUUUCGUUUAAAACAUUUUAAAGACUGAAACUAUUUAAGGAUGGGCACAAGUAUGGUACUCUACAGUUUUAGGAUACUGAAACCUUUAUACGUAGGGUCUAAAAUUAUAAAAUGGAUUUAAAUCCGUCAACAUUUGCGGAUAUAAAUGUUCAAAAAAAAAACAAUUGCGGAUAUAAUACAGAUUCAAUUCGAAUAUUUCCAAAAUAGUCAAAAUAAUUUAAAUAAUAUUAUUAAAUUAUUAAUUAUUAAACUAAAUUGAGCACUGAUUAAAAUAAUAAAAUAUUUAGAUUCAGUGACAGUUUAAAUAUAUAUAUUUCUGGUUAUCGUAUUUUCUAAUUACAUAUUUAUAAUAUUAUCGAACCGGAUCUGAAAUCGAAUUCCAAAUAGUUUACCCACUCUUACUCUGAAUCAUAUAGUUAUUUUCGUUAGAUUUUCAAAUUGAAUACAGAUACUUUUCCUUCUAUCUAAAUGCCAAAUCCCCUGACCAUUGGAUCAAAAACUUCCGAGAAAUAUACAAAAUGUUACUCAUUAAUGUGCUACCAUAGCAAAAUGUAAAGUGUUAAACUAUGCUUCAUCACAGCUUAUAUAAAGAGAAUGAAUUUUCGUAGAAAUAGAAGGCAAAUUGGAAAAUUCGAUGAAACUACCCGAUGAUAUCCUUAUACCUAUUCAAGUUGAUAGAUCAUAAACAUGAUCUUAAUUAAAUUUAUUUUAGUUAUUUAACGAAAGAAUAAAAUUUAAAAAAUGGAUUUAAAGAGUUAAAUAAAGUCUAGACAGAAAUAUGAUGAGGUAAUAAUGAAGUUGGUAAGGUUAGGAGAAUCUGGAUGAUUUUGAUGAACAUGAAGGAAGAAUAUCAACGUUUCAACAACCAAAGCAAUGAAGUGGCUAUUCUAUGAACCGCAGCUUUGGGAAAAUGAUUCUUUUGACUCGAUAUGCAGAUAUAGUAUCGUAAUUAUAGAAAAACCUACAAUAACAAAUAUAAUAUCCCUUUAACAAAAAAAAACAAAUAUAAUAUAAGAUCGGUGGUCGUGCGCUUUUUAUCUAUAGUUUAAUCUGUUUUUUUUUUGCAAUAUGUUUUUCCUUUUCUUUUUGUUCUUGAUAAAGAUAGCAUACCUACCUGGCAAUCCACAUAAUAGAUGUUACAUAUUACUGACAAAUUGAUAAUAAUUCUUUUGUUACUUGGACACAAACGAUUCUUUUUUACUUGGACACGAAACUCUCUAAGUUUUACAAGAAGAUAUGUUUUAGAGUUUGAAAAUUUGAUGGCUGUAACUUAGCCAACAUGUUUCUUAGUUUAGUAACAAAGGAGAUAAUAAGCUCACAGUUUUCCUUGAAUGAUAACCACUCUUUGAAAAUCGAAAUAUUUGAACUGUGGGCAAUGGAAGUGAAUUAUGUGAUAGCUUAUGCCUUAAUUUGAUAAAUCAAAAUUUCAAGUACACGACGAAAUGCACAGAAGUAUUAAAUGUAGGAACACAUUUUGCAAAGAAUUAGGGAUUAGUUAUAAAUUAUAUUGACUUGAGUGUAAGUCAAUUGAAGCAAACAUCUUAAAUGAACAAAGCUGUACCAAGGCUUUUUUUAUCAAAUAAUUAGACUACUUGUGUUUUUUAAACAAGCAAAUAGUAAAAAAAAUUUAACACAUCAUAAAUAUACUAAAUGUAAUGAUGACAAGAAAUCUUCACUAAAGAAAAUAGAGAUGACUAAAUAUGCAUGAAGAAUGGUUCAAAGAACUUAGACAAUAAAAAUUAGGCAUAUAAUCUCAUAAAGAUGAUUAAAUACAAAUUUGGUUCAGACUAGCUAGUUCGUCUCAAAUAAACCGAGUCAAUCUUGAAAUUUCAAAUAACAUAGUAGAUUACUUAAGAUGAUAUCUCAACAUGGCUUAAUAUGUUUGCUUUGGUGAAUCUUCGAGCCGUCUAGAACAAUGUUGAUGAUCAUUAUCUUGAUCUGUCAUGGUGAUCGGUUAGCUCAUUUGUUAUACUUAUUCUUGAUCGGUUGGAUCAUCGGUUUAGAUUACUGAUUAACAUGUCUUCUCCUCAACUUUUGAAGGUUCUUUUAUUUCUCCUUGAUGAAUUCAUCAUGACAUUCCAAGUAUCCAAGUGCAUGCUCUUCCUCAUGUACGACCUAAAAAUUAAAGUGAAGACUCCAAGUAUACGGUAUACCAGAUAUGCCUACAACUUCUAAUUAAAAACGUAAAUUCGGUACUAAGAUGCUGUGAACAAACGAGAAGUAACUCGAAAAAAACAAAAGAGAGAAAAAACAUAUCGAAGCAAAUACUCAUUUAGGGUGUUUUAUUAUUAUGUGAAUGAAUUAAUUUAUAAAUCUUUAUAUCUGUAUUUAUAUCACCCUCAAAACCCGAUUUCUUUUUCUAUAUAGAAAUACAUAUUUAUCUAGAAAAAAUAAAAUUUUCUAAACCAAUAAAGCAUAUUUUACUGUGGAAGCCUACAUCCCUCACACGGUCACAUCCUUCAGAAGUCAAUCUUGAUAGUGAAUUUUCUUUUUUUGUGCUUACGACACAUGCAAGAAAUACCGGACUUUUGUUGAUACACAGAGAUUUAAAACAUCUCAAGAUACAACAUAAACAUAAGAAAACCGGCUAAAAUAAUUAAAAACAGAAAACUGUUGAACUAGACCAAAAAAAGCAAUAAAGGUACUUAGAAGGAACAAUAUUUAGUAUUAUUUUGUCGGAAAACUAUCAAUACAUCUAAUACCCCGUAAAGACUCUUGGAAAAGGAAGAAAAUACUAGGCGGACUAAGAGCACCCGCAAUAGGAAUCCUUAAAAGGAAAUCUUAAGGAAAAAAUAAUUAAAUAAUCGGUAGACUCCACCAAAAACUAAUGAUUCAAUCCUUAAAAUUUCUAAAUAAGGACUCUUUCUUAGUGAAUCCUUGCACUAUUUGCGGGUCCCGACGACAUAUGGCGACCCGCGAUUAGUUGAUAUUUAUUUUUUUUAUCUAAAAAAAUAAAAUAAAUAAUAAAACUUAAAAAAUCAAAAUACACUUUUUUUAAGGACUCCCCUUAGAGUAACACCAUUGCGGGUGCUCUAAGGAGAAAACCAAGUUGCCCAUAUAUUAUAAUAUAAUGAUGCAUGUAUAAUAACAUCAUUAUUAUCAAGAAAUCUUGAAGAUCUUUUGUUUAACCGAUCUAAGUAACAAAAAAAAAAAUUUGUAAAUGUGACAACAUAUAUUCUCUUUACAAUACAAGUCUGCGUGAAUCCAGGUGCCCUGCCUUCGCAACUAUAAAGGCAGUAUUUCAUCACUACAUUAUUAGUUAUUGCAUUAUUAAUUUGUACUUGUUUACUUUUGCUUAAAGAGGAAGACAUACUUUGCUCAGCCAUGACGGGCUUCAAUAGCAAAUAAUGUUGAUGAUAUAAUACGUAUAUAUUAUACACCUAAUUCCUUUAUCAAACAAUAAAAUUCCUUUUAGAAACUAAAUAUAUUUUGGUUAAUAUAUAGUACAACUCGUUUAAAUCUUGUCGUACUAAUUUCUGUUAGGACCAUUUUGAAUAAUGUAUAUUUUUCCUAUUUAGCAGAUACAAUUACUUAUGAUAACUUCUUAAUUAUCAGAGGAUUUUUAUGGCAAAAUAUCUCAAGAGUGAAAGGAAAUUUUCACCACAGAAAAUGAAGAAAAACAGACUAUAAUCUUAUAGGAGGGAUCAACACAAAAUUAUAUAAA